rnacentral:tRNA from 1 species
GCCAGGCUAGCACAAUUGGCAGUGCAUCUCAUUUGUAAUGAGAGGGUUGCGGGUUCGACUCCUGUGCCUGGCUCCA